GCUUGGAUGGUCUAGUUGGUUAUGACGACUGCCUCACACGCAGUAGGUCCCGAGUUCGAUUCUCGGCUCCAGUA
rnacentral:tRNA from 1 species